CCAAGAGGGGGGUGAAUUGGGUGUUUUAAAGUUUUUGUCUAAUAAAACACACAAAUGUAUGAGCUAAAGUAAAAAUAAAGGUAUGAAAACACACAAUCACAAACACAAGCUUUUAUAGUGGUUCGGAGCUUCCACUGCUCCUACAUCAACUCCCCAAAGCACCUUUGGGAAUUUCCACUAUAAUCCAAGAUUACAGUACGGUAGUUUUGCGAGUGCACUACCCAACUCGUUGUUUUACACCGGACUAACAACGAAUCCUAAAAUUCCCAAUUUCACCUAGGCUUGAGACGCCUUUCCCUUGUUCCAAGUUCCUUGACUGGAACAAGCACAAUAUUGAAAAAGUUUUACAAAAGGUUUGAAAGCUCUAAAUAAGCAAAUAUAACAAUGAUAAACAAUGAAACCCGGAAGAACCCUUUUAGCCGUUGGAAGCGUGAGAAAUGGUGGUUCUUCCGAUGUGGAUCGCGUUGGCUUGAAUGUGAGCUUUGAAUGCCUAGCGGAAGAGAGUAGUUGAGCACGAAAUCACUUGGGAAGCUUGAAGGCACUUGAUUUCUUCACUUGAAUGCACUAACUCCCUUGAAUCUCUUUUUCUUUCUUCUCU
rnacentral:lncRNA from 1 species